GGAAGUUAAGAAAUUGUUUCUUAACUUUUAACUAAAAAAACUAAGAACCGGUUCUUAAAUAAGGAUUUUAAGAACCGGUUCUUAGCUUUUUUAGUGAAAAGUUAAGAAACCGUUUUUUAACUUCC
rfam:Brassica oleracea var. oleracea cultivar TO1000 chromosome C2, whole genome shotgun sequence